rnacentral:rRNA from 1 species
CGGCGGACGGGUGAGUAACACGUGGGCAACCUGCCUGUAAGACUGGGAUAACUCGCGGAAACGCGAGCUAAUACCGGAUAACUUCCGAAUUCGCAUGAGUUUGGAUUAAAAGAUGGCAUUGCUAUCACUUACAGAUGGGCCCGCGGCGCAUUAGCUAGUUGGUAAGAUAACGGCUUACCAAGGCAACGAUGCGUAGCCGACCUGAGAGGGUGAUCGGCCACACUGGGACUGAGACACGGCCCAGACUCCUACGGGAGGCAGCAGUAGGGAAUCUUCCGCAAUGGACGAAAGUCUGACGGAGCAACGCCGCGUGAGUGAUGAAGGUUUUCGGAUCGUAAAACUCUGUUGUCAGGGAAGAACAAGUGCCGUAUGAAUAAGGCGGCACCUUGACGGUACCUGACCAGAAAGCCACGGCUAACUACGUGCCAGCAGCCGCGGUAAUACGUAGGUGGCAAGCGUUGUCCGGAAUUAUUGGGCGUAAA